rnacentral:sRNA from 1 species
AAAAAAAAGAUAAAAAC